rnacentral:rRNA from 1 species
ACGGCUCAGUAACACGUGGGUAACCUGCCUUACACAGGGGGAUAGCCUUCCGAAAGGAAGAUUAAUACCGCAUAAGAAGUAAUUACCGCAUGGUAGAAGCUUUAAAGGAGCAAUCCGGUGUAAGAUGGACCCGCGGCGCAUUAGCUAGUUGGUGAGGUAAUGGCUCACCAAGGCAACGAUGCGUAGCCGACCUGAGAGGGUGAUCGGCCACAUUGGAACUGAGAGACGGUCCAGACUCCUACGGGAGGCAGCAGUGGGGAAUAUUGCACAAUGGAGGAAACUCUGAUGCAGCAACGCCGCGUGAGUGACGAAGGCCUUCGGGUUGUAAAGCUCUGUCAUCUGGGACGAUAAUGACGGUACCAGAGGAGGAAGCCACGGCUAACUACGUGCCAGCAGCCGCGGUAAUACGUAGGUGGCGAGCGUUGUCCGGAAUUACUGGGCGUAAAGGAUGCGUAGGUGGGAAUUUAAGUCAGAUGUGAAAUACCCGAGCUUAACUUGGGCACUGCAUUUGAAACUGAAUUUCUUGAGUGCAGGAGAGGAAAGCGGAAUUCCUAGUGUAGCGGUGAAAUGCGUAGAGAUUAGGAAGAACACCAGUGGCGAAGGCGGCUUUCUGGACUGUAACUGACACUGAGGCAUGAAAGCGUGGGGAGCAAACAGGAUUAGAUACCCUGGUAGUCCACGCUGUAAACGAUGGGUACUAGGUGUGGGAGGUAUCGACUCCUUCCGUGCCGCAGUUAACACAAUAAGUACCCCGCCUGGGGAGUACGAUCGCAAGAUUAAAACUCAAAGGAAUUGGCGGGGGAGCACA